rnacentral:lncRNA from 10 species
GCAGGGUACAGUGUUCCAUAAAAAGCCCUUUCUGAAACUGAACUAAUGUGAUGGCAAUGACUGAAACAAGAGAUGACUAAUCAAAAAAAGAUUCAUAGACAGGAGUCCUGAACUGUGUCUUGAAGAAGAUUCACAUGUUCAGAGAAUAUGGGAAAAACAGUUGAACCAUGAAGAAUUACAGUAUGCAUUUCAUUCCCAAGAGAUUAAAAACUAUGUCUGAGUGGGAAGACACAGUUUAAUUUGCAAUCUGGAAGAAGUGUGGGAGACAAGACAAAAAAGGAUGAGUUCUUCAUUAUGGAUAUUGGAAACAUAAAUGACGUCUGAUAAAAAGUAAAAAUUGGAUUGCCACACUGACUUAAUUAAUGACCACUAAAUGAGUUCCUUAAGUCAGAAUUUUGCUUCUGAGAUCUACACUUCCUGAGUCAUUCAUUUUGUGACUAUGCUGGUAUUUGGAAAAGUAGGGCUGGAAUUGCGAGCUAUACUUUCUGUCACUUAGCAGCGAAGAGCCUAUCUGUCACGUGUUCAGCGUCAGGGUUUUUUCUCUUUUCCCAAGUAGCAAAGGCUUUUCACAAUUGUGUUGCAAAGACCACACCAGAAACAAGACAUACAAUACUUGAUAACAUUUUCUGCUUCACCGAUGGAGGACUACAACAACAUGUGAGGUUUUCUGGCCUUUAAUUUCUUUGAAAAGGUCAAAACUGUUAAAAAGGAACUACUUACUGUAUUUUGCUAAAAAACAUAAACAUUGCAACAUUUCAGCUUUCAACUUAGAACAUAGGAACAUUGCCUCCUGCGAUUUUGAUUUUAGAUAACCAACUGCAAAUUCUGAUACAACUCCUGGCUGACCUUAUCAGUUUAUAUCUAGGGAUGUUCUAAUUAAAAAUAAAAUUGAAUUCAUUUCUUUAUCAUACUUUUAUACAACCAUAGAUUUCCCAACUUCCUACCACAGUAGGAGGCACUGUGGCAACGUAUCAAUAUAAACACAGUAUGGAAAAUUCUAAACCAAACCUGAUGGGAAAUGCACAUGAUACUAUACAACCUUGAGGAAGUCUUUUCUGAUUUUAUUUUCACUGCACUUUGCUAUAUGCUGGUAGAGUUUCAGUACAUGUGAGCGCUGAGGCCCUCAAAGUAAAAAUAUGGAGGUCUUGAGGUCAGACCAGCUACCCUGCUGUCAUUCAUUUCCUGUGCUAAGGUUACACUGAAGAUAGUUUUAAAGCUUUGAUGUAAACAGAGCAAGAUACUCUGCCCUUUGUGCCUUAAUAUGACAUAUCACAAAAAUGCCAUUUUAAUUGUUUUACCAUAUAUUUAAAUGUUUUGUAUUUGUUGUUAUUCCCAGCAGCUAACAAUAAGAAAAUAGCAACAUUAAGGUCAGUUUAUUGUUUACUAGAAAUCAUGAUUCUAAUGAGCUCUGAAGAAAAUGUUAAUCAUAAUUCUUUUGCAGUCUUGUAAAAUAAAUACUAAUGCUUAUGUAUAAAGUAUAUAUGAAG